rnacentral:lncRNA from 1 species
AGUAACAGCCUCUAGAUGACAAUUGAUCUUCUGAUUUCGACUAUAUUUUUGUUGGGCUUCCCUAAAAAGAUGAGAGAGACACAGACAGAGAGACAGCAAAAACCACCUAACAAAGACAUUUAUCACAGGAAUACAAUUGAUGUUGAGAAAACCACUAAUUGAAAGGAUUUGUUUUGCUGGUUUACAGCUCUAUCAAUGCCUGUACAAAAUUACUUCAUGUGUAUUUAAACAGUUCAAUAUUUAUUCAGUUUACUGUUUUAAAGUAAAUAAUUGAGACUUUUAUUCCAACUGCUCCUGGAAAUUGGAGCAAGAAAAUAACGAAAUAUUAAAGGGAAACCAGCUUCACGAAUGUCUAGAAAUCAGAAAACAGAAAAGCAGAUUAACUGGGAAUGCUACAAGGGGGCAGUGAUUCUCCAGCCUGUUAGGACACGAGGCAUCAUCCAAUGUGCAAUUAAAAAACAAGACCUGUGAGCAGGCGAUUCGGGAGAACAAAAGCCUAUUAAAGCUCUCCUAAGAGUUCGGUUUCUUGCCAGAAGAGCCAUCUGUCAAGAGAUUACCGAGGAGGAAAUUUCUGCAGGAAUUUCCCCCUGGGACCAGAUGAAGUGCCAAGAAAAGGUGUGUAUGGCAUCAGGAGUGAGGACCGACUCAGAGUCCUGAACUUCUCACAGACAGAAAGAGAAGCAUCCACCCACUGGUGCUCAGGGAAGAGGCAGAGAGGGAAAUCUCUGUAUUGCUCCUGAUCCGAAAACCAAGGUCGUAUUGGAGUUUAUGAAAAUAAUGUCUUUUAAGAUCAAUGCCUGGAAGAUGAAUCGGAACAUUUGAGGAAAGUCACCGAGGAGGUGGAAAGGUUGCGGGCAUGAAGCACCCAAGCCCUGAGAAGAGAAUCCUCUCAUUAUGGAGGCUGAUCUGAAGAAUCUAUCAGCACAAAACUAAGACAUCAUAGUGGAUUCAGAGCCAAGCAGAUCAUAUCUAAAAUGAGGACAUUCCUGGGUGGGCAACUACAGAGGAAAGGAAAGAAAUUGUUUAGCAUAAUGUGGUUCCACCUUUUGCCAAGAUGUAACCAGCUGAGAAACUCAAAACAUUUUGAGGAGAUGCUAUCUGCCAUCGGGAUUACCACAAUACAUGGAGGAUCAAAGAAAAUUCCACAUUUUACCCUGGUGAUUAGCUGUAAUUAAAUAAAGUAAGUCUUUUUAAAUUCAUUAGCAGGAAGACGUUUGCUACAGCAGAGUGGGCACAAAUCAUCCAUUGUUAAUUAAAAGAUAAUCCACAGGAUGGCCAUAAUCUUCUUCUAAAAAUACACCAUUUCCCCCUGAAAGAUUUUCUCAUCAAAUACGGAUAAAUAACAGUUUCUAUGAGUUGAAGCCAUGAAGGAAUGGAUGCUCCUCCCGCUUGCUUGAGUGAGUGCUGAAUGUGGCUGAUAACAUCACUUUGGCAUGCUAUUAUCUAAAAUGGUAGAAUACCUCAGUUCAGCAAAGUCUGACAUAAAUCUUUGAAAACAAAGACAUUGCAUAUGUAUGAGCUGAAAUAGAUAUGACAGUGUUGGCACAUUAAUAUUCCUGUCACUAGGGGGUUUCAAACUUUUAAGGAGAGGAUGGGAAUGAAUUCAGACUGUAGCUGGUAAAAUAGGGCAACAUACAGUAGGACAAUUAGACAUUGCUAACCACAAAAAAUAUGUACAGAGAAAGGGUUCCUCUACUCCCUGCCUUUGGUAGGAGACAGAGCGAGAGAGCGAGAGAGCGAGAGAGAGAGAGGCUGUAGAAUUGCCUCCUGGGAAUGCCAAGAAUAAUUAAUUUGGCUUAGAGAUUUGCAUGGCUGUUCAAAGCAUACUAAUAAGAAUAUUCCAAAAAGAUCAGUCCCAAUCAAUAGAGGCGAGAACUGAUUUUUUUUUUCUGGUGUGGCCACUGUGUUGGUUCAUGGGUAACAGAUGUUUCCACUUAUUCUGCAUCAACCAUCAUUAAAAGUAACUGUGGGUCCUAAUGGAAUCACUCUCCACCUAGUUGGAUCUGUGUAGAAAAUCAUUCUACUAUUGUAUGUUCUACAGUUAUUUCUUUUCCUGAUUUUGGUUGCUGAUAUGAAAAGCGUUGCCAUAGAUUUUUCUUUCCCCUUACCUUCUCUGGAAGAAGUAAAUUAAUGAAAAAUACACUUCUUACUUUAUUUUACUCUGCAUAGACUUACUACCUGUUGGAAAAGAUCUACUAAAAAUGCCAACCAUUUUUAGAACAGCCUUAUAAAUCAUCAAAUUCUAGGAAAUUCACCACUUACCAAUGAAGAUGAAAAAAGAAUUGUAUUAGAUAUCAUUCUGAAUAGGAGUGGGCAAGAAUUACUCAACACCAGCACUUAAUGAAAAAUAGUCUCUAAGCUAUGGUUCUCCAGUUUGAGGCUAAUGUUGAAAUGUUAGAACUUUUGGUAAAAGAUAGAUAGAUAGAUAGAUAAAAGAUAGGUAGAUAGAUCGAUCAAUUGAUCGAUCUGGUGAGUGGAAAUGAGGGGAAGCUUAUAAAGUUAUUGUUUUUUUUUUUUAAAUUAGUUUUCUAUUUUUAUUUUUUACCAAAACCUCUUUGGACACAUCAUUGUAGCCCUGGGAAGGUUGGUCUGAGCCCAGAUAGCAGUGGCCCUCAUGGAGAGAAAAGUCUGCAAAACCUCUCCUUUGACAAAGAGACACAAAAUGAGAUGUCUGACAAAGCAUAUCAAGCAAACAUGAUGGUAAAUCAGCAAUUACAUAGGCUACAGAGGAACACAUAUCUCACUUCCAAAUGUCUUUUUCUUCUUCAAAUUUUGCUUAUAACAUCUCAUAGAGGUGCUUAGGUCAGUAUUUUUUAAAGCAGUUUAAUACAUGACUAUGCUUUGGUUUUGGUUUAACUCCUUUAUUACUCUAAUGCUAUUUGUCAUUUCAUGCAUGUGUCAGCAUUGUAUUCGAAUGACAUAGAAAGGUUGGGAAUAAACCAAACGCAAAUCAAAGCUCUUGCA